CAGUAGCCGCGGGAAUACGUAGGGUGCAAGCGUUGUCCGGAAUUAUUGGGCGUAAAGAGCUCGUAGGCGGUUUGUCGCGUCUGCUGUGAAAUCUGGGGGCUCAACCCCCAGCCUGCAGUGGGUACGGGCAGACUAGAGUGCGGUAGGGGAGAUUGGAAUUCCUGGUGUAGCGGUGGAAUGCGCAGAUAUCAGGAGGAACACCGAUGGCGAAGGCAGAUCUCUGGGCCGUAACUGACGCUGAGGAGCGAAAGCAUGGGGAGCGAACAGGAUUAGAUACCCCAGUAGUCCCUGUCUCUUAUAC
rnacentral:rRNA from 1 species